UUUUAGCCGGCACACCGAAAACCACAUAUGUUUUCCCAUCUUCAGAGGCCCGAUUAUCCGGAAAGCAGCUGACUAGAGGUUCAUGGCGCUAAGAUUGCUACAGUUCGCAAGAUGAUUCCUGUUCCGAGUUGCUGCCGGCGGAAAGCUGCAGGAAGUGCAAUGAAUUAUUCAAAGCGUGCUGGUGCUAGGCAUCAAGCGUCUUCAAAUGCGCAAAAAGGCGAGACUGCUUAGACAUUGAACCAAAUGUAUGUGAUCAGACAAAAAUAACUUUCUAAAUAAGCUUACACUAAGUUAUUUUUACAUACUUCCUCCUUUAAUAACAAUCUACAGGUAAAAUGCAUCAACAGUUGGUGUCUUGUGAAAAUAAUCGACCGAAACCGAAACUCGGGGGUCCAGGAAUAUGUCGAGAUGGCAUUCAAUCUGAUCGAGUACGCCGGCAAAAUGGAUACAAUUAGGCUGCUGUGUGCCUUGAGAGAAAUGCCUUUUUUAUCAGACCAGAUACUACGUUUUCUAGUUCAAUCCAUGAUGGACCGCGCGGAUGCAGAUCCGUUCUAGAUGUUAAGUCCGAUCGAGAUGGAAAACAAAAUUUCGGGACCAAGACGAACAACCGUAGCCCUGAUUUGUUUCCCCCUAAGAUCUAGGCUGUCACAACAGUUUUUUAUUC